UACGGAGGAUGCGAGCGUUAUCCGGAUUUAUUGGGUUUAAGGGGUGCGUAGGCGGAAUAUCAAGUCAGCGGUAAAAAUUCGGGGCUCAACCCCGUCGUGCCGUUGAAACUGAUGUUCUUGAGUGGGCGAGAAGUAUGCGGAAUGCGUGGUGUAGCGGUGAAAUGCAUAGAUAUCACGCAGAACUCCGAUUGCGAAGGCAGCAUACCGGCGCCCAACUGACGCUGAAGCACGAAAGCGUGGGUAUCGAACAGG
rnacentral:rRNA from 1 species